rnacentral:rRNA from 1 species
CUCGGGAAACUGAGGAUAAAACUCGAUAGGAGAUUUACCCUGGAAAGAUUUAUCUCUUAAAUUCGCGCCAUAGGAUGAGACUGCGGUGGAUUAGGUUGUUGGCGGGGUAAUAGCCCACCAAGCCGAAGAUCCAUAAGGGCUCUUAGCGGAGAGGCCCUGAGAGGGAAUCUGAGACACUAUUCCCAGCCCUACGGGGUGCAGCAGCCGAGAAUAAUUUACAAUGCACGAAAGUGUGAUAAUUUGAGCCAGAGUGCGAUUCAUUGAAUCGCUUUUGUUAAAUGUAAAAAGUUUAGCGAAUAAGGACUGGGUAAGACGAGUGCCAGCCGCCGCGGUAAUACUCGCGGUCCAAGUCGCAACCAUUUUUAUUGGGUCUAAAACAUCCGUAGCUUGCUUGACAAGUCCCUUGUGAAAUCCCACAUCUUAAGUGUGGGGCGCGCGAGGGGUACUAUCAAGCUAGAGACCGGAAGACGCAACGAGUACGUUUGAAGUAGUGGUAAAAUAUUUUAAUCUCAAACGGACUAACAACAGCGAAGGCACGUUGCGAGAACGGUUCUGACAGUCAGGGAUGAAGGCUAGGGGCGCAAAACGGAUUAGAUACCCGUGUAGUCCUAGCAGUAAACACUGCACACUAAACAUCAGUACCUCCUCGAGAGGUAUUGGUGCUGAAGGGAAGCCGAAGAGUGUGCUACCUGGGAAGUAUAGUCGCAAGGCCGAAACUUAAAGGA